UGGGGAAUUUUGGACAAUGGGCGAAAGCCUGAUCCAGCAAUGCCGCGUGUGUGAAGAAGGCCUUCGGGUUGUAAAGCACUUUUGUCCGGAAAGAAAUCCUUGGCUCUAAUACAGUCGGGGGAUGACGGUACCGGAAGAAUAAGCACCGGCUAACUACGUGCCAGCAACCGCGGUAAUACGUAGGGUGCAAGCGUUAAUCGGAAUUACUGGGCGUAAAGCGUGCGCAGGCGGUUUGCUAAGACCGAUGUGAAAUCCCCGGGCUCAACCUGGGAACUGCAUUGGUGACUGGCAGGCUAGAGUAUGGCAGAGGGGGGUAGAAUUCCACGUGUAGCAGUGAAAUGCGUAGAGAUGUGGAGGAAUACCGAUGGCGAAGGCAGCCCCCUGGGCCAAUACUGACGCUCAUGCACGAAAGCGUGGGGAGCAAACAGGAUUAGAUACCCUGGUAGUCCACGCCCUAAACGAUGUCAACUAGUGGUUGGGGAUUCAUUUCCUUAGUAACGUAGCUAACGCGUGAAGUUGACCGCCUGGGGAGUACGGUCGCAAGAUUAAAACUCAAAGGAAUUGACGGGGUCAUAGCUGUUUCCU
rnacentral:rRNA from 1 species